rfam:Dipodomys ordii contig_33010, whole genome shotgun sequence.
GGGAAGUUUGCUCAGUGGUAGAGCACUUGCCUUGCAUGCAUGAGGCUAUGGGUUUGAUUCCUUAGCACCACA